GCACUAGGGACUGGUUAGCUUUAAAUCGAACUUAUCCUGGCACCCAGUUCAUGCUUCGAGCAUCCUUACUUCUUCGUCGUUUAAUGCCAUACCAGUCCACGCCAGACCGUGGACUGCCUCACCCAAAUCUUUUUGCCCAUUUCGAGUUCUCGUCACUUGUCCAAUAUGGAGAAUGCCAGGCACUGGUGGUUUUCAUGAGUCGUCCAAGUCAGCUAUGGUUCUUCUUCAUUUUGCGAAGGGAAACCAUGAAAAGGAGUCCCACAUGGGGAAUUCGAAAAGAAUCACAUACCAGAACAGGACACAAAGGAGGAGGCUAGGCAACGUUCCAAAGCAUACCUUUCUCGGCCUUUUGGCUAAGAUCAAGUGUAGUAUCUGUUCUUAUCAGUUUAAUAUCUGAUACGUGGGCCAUCGGUCCACAUGAUAUUAAAUUAAUUUGUCUAGGGGGAGAGGCCGCCACAGUGGCUUGCUACUGGGCCUCUCGCGCGUCGCUCGGGAGUUGCACUUCAGCCCUUGCCUGGCGCACCCCACCCAAGCCCAGUCGAAACGAUGCUUUUGUGUUGCUUAACUAGUCCGCAAAGCUCUCGGGUGCGGUCUCCGACUCUCUGCCUCUCUGUGUUGCUGAAAAACUAUUGGGUUGUAGCUGUUGGAAGCCAAGCAAACAUCAUUCCUGAAGCGAAGAAUCCAAAAGACAAUGGUGAUCUGUCAGUGUUUCUCGGGUUUAUCUGUGCUAAGUGGUCCCGUUCUAUUAUACACUGAGCAUUGGAGUCUUUUUAUGAUGGUGAAUGUUCCACAAAUUCAUGGCUCCUUGUCAAAAAGCCCACCCUAGUUCUUCUUAUGAAACGUACCACAUUGGAUGAAAGGCAAGAACAUGGGCAGCAAGGCCAGUCACAAAAGACGAGGUUGUAAAAUUGGGCAAAUCACGCAGCCAUGUGAUGAGCACAGAGCAAACUAUUCUUUCGCUCUUUACUAAAGAAUACCGUGUGCUCGUCACAACUAGUGGCAUACGCCCGUUUUUGAAGGGGCUUCCUCAACUGAUUUUUUCUUAGCCCCUUAAAACAUGUCUCGCUUAGCAACUGUCUCCUAACGACAAUCAAUUAGCUUCAGAUAUUGAACUAGCUGAACUUAGCUAUACAAAAGAAACUAGCUGAACUUAGCUAUGCAAAAGAUUCCACCCUGAGAUAACAAUAAUGCUCACAAUUCAUUCCAA